AUGUUCGCUUUAGGAAUAUACGUACUAAAAUUGGAACAAUAAAGAGAAUAUUAGCCUAUGUUCUGUUCAUGGAUGACCUGCAAACUUGGGAAUAUUUCCACAUAAUU